rnacentral:misc_RNA from 1 species
CCUCUUGCUCUAAUGAGGCACAAAGAUAAAUUAACUUGGCAUUUCGAAUUUCGACAAAGCAUUGCGUGUAUACAGUUCGUUCUAGUUACAAAAGUAUUAUAAAUAGCCUGCAAUCCCAUCUCUGUAUCCACCCUAAUUCUUCUACAUACUCAGGGGUCAGGGAUCUCCAAAGCUUUGGUAUAGCUUAAUCAGGGCAACAAGUUUUGCAGCCCAGCAGCUGCGAGUCCCCCCCAAGUCUUCAGCCCCUAAAGUUUAGUCCCAUUCACCUCUUGGCUCUCUAAAGUUUAAUUGUAUGGAGAAAUAGAAAGAGUGGAAAGCACCAGGGAACCUUAGCAAUGCCUUGGGUCUGCCAUUACCUGUCAAGUAACUUCUUCUUCUUCAAUCUCCAAAUUCCUUUCUGCACUUUUUUCUUACCCUAUCAUAUUAACACCUCUAACUUGAGAAUCAAGUAUCCCAUAUCCAGAUUUCACCUGGGUUUCUCUUGCCACGUCUUCCCCUUUUGCAGGCUUCCGAGCCAGUGAAAGUUCUUUGCUACAUCAGUUGUAAUAUAUUAAGCUUUAUAUUAUUUUUCAAUAACAAUAAUAUUAAUAGAAUAUAUAAGCAAAACAAUAAGAGAAUAAUGCCAUAUAUAAGACAAUCAUAUCCGAAAAUAUACACUUGUUCACACAAUUUGUUUCUACUCACUAAUCAAAGUUUUGUGCCUCUGCUCCUUUAGUUAGCUUUAUGUAACAUAUUUUGACAAGUAUUUAGUUGGAUGCAAAUUAAAAAGAUGAGCACUGCUAUUUAAGUGAAACUAGUUCGUGUCUCGGGUGGACCUAUGAAUAAUUCUGUCCCCACUUCCAUAUUUUUUCUGUUUGCUAUUUGCGGACCUAUGAAUAAUUCUGUCUCCACCUCCAUACUCUGUCUGUCUGCUACAUGUUGCUCCUUUAUUGUUGUUGUUGACAAGUCCAUUGGUUGCAGUCCACACUAUAUACAUCAAUCAUGGAGAAAGACUUAUUAACCAAACCCAAAACAAAAUUAAUCUAAUUACUGACUGAAUUAGGAUUUAAUUAAUAACUUAAGUUUUGCUUUAUUAUUUUUAUUAUUAUUUUGCAAAUUUAACAAUCUAAAUAAAUAAGCCUAAACAAAUCUUAACAUGUAGCUAUUUCCUCUUAUGAUCUACGAGUAAUUGUUUUUAGCAGUAGAAAUAGAAAAACUAAGGAGAGGGAAAAUACCUUGGCCCGCAACCUUUUAUUUUCUUCCAUCAGGAUUUUCUCCUGAAUUGUGUACAAAGUAAAAUGCUUGUAGCAAUGAGCAAAUCUUUGAACAGAUUAAGAUCUAAGAAUUCUUGAACAAAAUGCAGAUAUACAAAUAUGUAUGCAUGCUCCUAAUCAAACAAGUCAAUUUAUUCAGCAUAGACAUAUUCUUGACAGCUUCCUUAUUGCCAAUGAAGUGAUCCACUCAUGUAAGCGACAGAAGAAAGGGUGUUUUUUGCUAAAAGUGGAUUUUGAGAAGGCAUUUGAUUUUGUUGGAUGGUUUUUUUUAGAUUCGGUAAUGGAAAGGAUGCAUUUUGGUGAAAAAUAUGGAGAAAAUGGAUUAUGGAAUGUCUUAUCAACUCUAGAGCUUCAAUUGUUAUAAAUGGCACUACUUCUGCUACUACUGAAUUUCCUUUACACAAGGGACUCCGACAAGGUGACCCUUUGUCACCUCUCCUUUUCCUCAUAGCAGUUGAACCUCUUAGUGCACUUUUUAUGAAAGCUUGCUGCCUCAGCAAGACUAAAGGAAUCCCAAUAUCACCUGACGGCCCUUCAAUAUCUCUCCUGCAAUUUGCUGAUGACGCGAUAAUUCUCUGCCCUCCUAGGAUGGAAUUCAUUCAAACCUCGGCCAAUAUUCUAAGAUGUUUUGCACUACUCUCAGGGUUAAAGGUGAACUUCCAUAAAAGCACCAUUGUUGGUGUAAAUAUUGCGGAAGAGCUUGCUAAAGAAACUGCCUCACGAACAAUCUGUAACUUUGGGAAGUUACCUAUUACCCACCUGGGCCUUCCUUUAGGAUCAAAUAUGAAGAGAAUCAUAGCUUGGUGCCCCAUAAUUUAAAAAAUUGAAAGCAAGCUGUCCCUUUGCAAGGGAAGAUUAUUAUCUCAAUCUCGGCGUUUGGUGCUUAUUAAAUCUUGCAUUGCAUCCUUGCCACUGUACUUUCUUUCCAUCUUCAAAAUCCCCAAAAAAGUAGCCUCACAUUUGAACAGAGUAAUGGGUGAUUUCUUUUGGUCUGGAGGGACUGGUCAGUGUAAACCCCAUCUCAUUCAAUGGGCAGACAUCGUAUCUAGCAAAAGAUUGGGAGGGGUAGGUACAAUAGACUUGAAAAUUCAAAAUCGAGCUUUGCUUUUCAAGUGGAUGUGGAGAUUCACACAUGAGGACAACUCUCUUUGGCAUUCAGUGAUUUGCAACAAAUAUGGUCUUCUUACUUUGUUUGAUGAAGAAUCAUCUUGCAAGGGUGAUGUUUCGACACUGUGGAAGAACAUUAUGGAAUUUUUUUACGUCUAUGAUGAGAUCUCAGCACCAAUUAAAUUAAAUGUGGGCUAUUGUAUUGGUGAUGGAACAAAAUUUUCAUUCUAGAAUGAUCCAUGGAUAUCUAAUGUGCCAUUAAAAAAUUUGUUUCCAAAUCUGUUCCUCCUUUCACAGGACAAAAGUGCUACAGUGGCUUCCCUUGGAAAAUGGGAGAAUGGUUUAUGGGUCUAGAAGUUGAAUUAGACUAGACAACCAUAUGGAAGGAAUAUCCAACUACUGCAGUCAUUCCUUAACAUGGUCAAUUCCAUAUCUAUUUGCCCAUCCAGAAGAGAUUUAAAGGGGCUAUUCUCUGUUAAUUCUCUAUACAGAGCCAUAAUGGAACUCUCUUCUCCAAGAUCCUCUUCAAGCCCUACCAUGCCGUAUGUCUGGUUAGGUGUUGCUCCCGUGAAAGUUGAAUUAUUCAUAUGGAUGGCUUGUCGACAGCGUAUCCCAGUCCAAUAUUGGCUAUUUCACAUUGGUUUCAUCCCAAUUGCACAGAAUCAUUGCCCCUUUUGUGGAUGUUUUCUCAAAUCUGUUCAUCAUUUACUUAUUCACUACACAUUUUCUUUUAAGGUUUGGGGUUUUUUCCUAAAAUGGUGGGGCUUUGCCUUUUACUUCCUUAAAGAUUUGGUCUCACUCUUCACACAAUGGAACUCGUUGGUUUUGGGGAAAAUGCAGAAGGAGUUUUGGCAGUGCCUUUUCUUUGCAAUUUUAUGGUCCUUAUGGCUUUUACGGAAUGAUAAUGCAUUCAAUAAUUCUAACCCCUACUAUAUCAGCUUGUGUUGCCUUAUUUUCCAGUGGGUCUCACUAUGGAUACAAAGUUUCAACAAUAAUUUUACAUACUCUAGAUCCCAAGUAUUAUAAGAGGCAGACUGUAUUAAACUUUGGGUGAACGCAAAACCAAAUAGACCAAUCCGACCUUGGAACCUUCUCAGCCAAGUUGGUUGAAAUGGAAUACAGAUGGCUCUUUCCUUGGUAGGUCCUGCUAGAGUAGGUGGGGUAUUGCGUGAUGAUGGUGGUAUUGUCCAUUGCAUUUUCUCUUGCCGAAUUGAAAGUAUUGAUUCUAAUGAGGCAGAAUUAAGAGCUAUACAUAAGGCACUUUAGAUUUCUACUCAAUUGGACUCAAUUAAUAACGAGGUACAACGUUUAAUCAUUGAGUCUGACUCUUACAAUGCUAUUGCUUGGGUAACAUGUGCUUCGGAGGUUUUAUGGAGAAUGAACAAUCUGCUUAACUUCAUCCUUAAUCUGAUCAAAACUUUUCCCCCAAUUUCUUUUACUCAUACUCUAAGGGAAGCUAAUAAUUUUGCGGAUUAUUUGGCAAAAGUGAGCAAUUUGCAUUAGGAGGAUUUUAUAGCCUUCCUAUAGAUGAUGUUUUGUCUAUCAUUAGUGAUUCAUAAUCCUAUUUAUGUUUGAUCUUUGUCGGUAGAUUGCUUUAUUUGUUUCAGUUGGUUGCUUUGAAGCCUCGAGCCCCUACACCCUACUCUUCUGCACUUAUGUUGGGAUGCGUCUUGGAUCUGCCAUGUUUUGUUUUGGUCUUGUGAUUUUUGGUCAUCUUACCAUUUUCUCGACUGAUAUGACUAGAACCUUUGCUUUGGUGUUUUGCUAAGACUUUUUUUUAUCUAUUUUGUGUUUUGCUUCAAGUUUUUUCACUUAGCAGGCUUUGUCUUAGAAAUGGUGUAAUGGGGAGGCAUGAUGACUGGGUAUAGUCAGACACUGCAUACAAAGUUUUUCCUAGAUUGCAUUUAAUAAUAAAAA